rnacentral:lncRNA from 1 species
GACCACGACGUAGAUGUGGACGAGACCGACCGUGAAGGCGAGGAGACAGGAUAAGAGGUAUAAGAUGGAGGCAGGGUCGAAGUCUUCCGGAGUCCAGAGAAGGAAUCCGGCGGCGCCGAUGCAGACGGCGGAGAAAAAGAGGGGGUUUAGGCUGGGGCGGGGAGCGGCGAUGCGGACUACUUCAGCCAUGAGUUUGGUUCGCAGAGGAAGACGCAGGCCUCUUCAAUUUAUGGGAGUUCGGAUCCUCUCCGGUGCAAAACCCAAAAUCGCGCCGUAGGGUAUUUCCAGGUUUUUUUU